UGGGGAAUCUUGCACAAUGGGGGAAACCCUGAUGCAGCGACGCCGCGUGAACGAUGAAGCCCUUCGGGGUGUAAAGUUCUUUCGACAGGAACGAUAAUGACGGUACCUGGAGAAGAAGCUGCGGCUAACUACGUGCCAGCAGCCGCGGUAAUACGUAGGCAGCGAGCGUUGUUCGGAGUUACUGGGCGUAAAGAGUGCGUAGGCGGCGAGCCAAGUUUGGUGUGAAAUCUCCCGGCUUAACCGGGAGGGUGCGCCGAAAACUGGUUGGCUGGGGUAUGGGAGAGGAAAGCGGAAUUCCUGGUGUAGCGGUGAAAUGCGUAGAUAUCAGGAGGAACACCUGCGGUGUAGACAGCUUUCUGGACCAAAACUGACGCUGAGGCACGAAAGCGUGGGUAGCAAGCA
rnacentral:rRNA from 1 species